rnacentral:rRNA from 1 species
AACGAACGCUGGCGGCGCGCCUAAUACAUGCAAGUCGAGCGAGAAGACGUAGCAAUACGUUUGUAAAGCGGCGAACGGGUGAGGAAUACAUGGGUAACCUACCCUCGAGUGGGGAAUAACUAGCCGAAGGUUAGCUAAUACCGCGUACGCUCCUUGGACUUCGGUUCAGGGAGGAAAGCGAUACCGUGGGUAUCGCGCUCUUGGAUGGGCUCAUGUCCUAUCAGCUUGUUGGNGAGGUAACGGCUCACCAAGGCUUCGACGGGUAGCUGGUCUGAGAGGACGAUCAGCCACACUGGCACUGCGACACGGGCCAGACUCCUACGGGAGGCAGCAGUAAGGAAUAUUGCGCAAUGGGCGAAAGCCUGACGCAGCGACGCCGC